AAUGUGGAAGUCAGAGCAAAAUGAAUGUGUAAUAAUUCCAUGAAGGAAAGUCUCCAAACAGAUAAAACUGCAUCGCUGUCUGAUUUCAAAAUAAAAUCCACGUGUAUUAUGUGUGUAGGCUAUACAUAUGCUGCACGCUACAUGUUGCCAUCCCAAAGGUGCUUCCCAAACAGAAUGAUACAUUUUGACAGCAUAUAUGUAUAAAAAUAUCCACUUAUUUAAUAAUAUAGCUGGGAUCUUGACUAAAUUAGCGUGCCUUUUGUGAAUUCUUUUGAAAAUAUGGACGUUGGGCUUGUUCUUUUUCCUGUUGGUGCAACGUGAUUUUUACUGCCGCCCUGCGGCGCUGUGAGGAGCCAGUGUAAAUACUCUCAUUGAUUAUGUCUGUCAGCCGCUUAUGUCACUGCGCCACACCGGAGGCUGUGCAAAUUCAAAGACUCCUCCGACGCGGCCGACAAAUGCAUCCUCCUUUUUCUCCGACUUGGUGGAUCCUUCUCGGCCAAGCUUAYCCCAUGAGGCGUUGYGGGCYGACCAGAGAUUUUUUUGCUUGUACUGGCAGAUGUAGCGAGACAAAGGAAUACAGUUUUAAAUAAAAAUCUGGCAGUAUAAAACUGAAAGUUUAAAGCAGUUGUGUUGUUAAUCCUUUUGUCAUUUGCAUCGACAUGUUUUUUAAAAAUUAUUCUUGUCAGAAAUCAAAUGAGCUGUAUGUGAAAUAAAUGUACACAUACAGUGAGUCCUUUAUUUCUUCUAAUAUUGCCUUUAGGCUAAUUUUGUUAAUUUAUAAUUUAAAAAAAUUAAUGUAUGAUAUUUUGCUAAUUUCAAAUUAUUUUUGCUUCUGUUUAGUAUAAUCACAGUUGUUAGGCGACGUGACAUACGCCAGGGUAAGGGCCGGUAUAAAGCAGGUGGCUAGACCGUCCAAAUUCGGUCACUUUUUACCGGUCGACCGAAGAUCCGGCCCACCUAGACUGGUUAGACCAGGUCCUUCGAAAGACACAGCCCUUGAAUUUGGACAUAGCCAUGGUCUCUUUAACAUGUCCUCACUAGGGUCUCCUCCUAAUUGGACAUGCGGCGCCAGGGGACACCCUUACCAAAAGCCUGAACCACCCCAACUGGACGGCUGUGGCGGUGUGGUUAGAGGAGUUGUCCUGUAGUCGUCAGUCGUGUUCUUGGGAAAGACACUUCACCCACCUUGCAGUUCAACUACUUCUUCACCACAACGGACCGACACAAAGUGCGCAGUACUGCAUGUGCUGCACUGAUCCAUCUGUCAGGUUGUCAGUUGUUGCUAUCAUGCACAUUAGCUAAAUAACACAUAUUUUCUUGGCUGCAACUUUACCACCAACACUUUGAACUGUUCCACUUGGAUUGCCUUUGUUAAACAGAAUUUUCUCUGUUUCAUAUUAACUAAUUGUCAUUAUAAAUCUGCAAGAAGGAAGCUUAAUUUUCAUGCAGAAUGACAAACAUGACCCGUCACUUCUUAUACAUUAGAUAUAUUUUCUAGUAAGCUGGAUAAAAUUGGAGACAAGAACCAUAUCUGGCCUGCAGGCCUUGAGUUUGACACAUAAAUAUAUGAAAGAGAAACAAGACAGUCAUAAAACUGACAGACAGUUGUGAGAGGGAAAAUGUGCUCAUUUAUUGUGGGUAUACCCCCAAAAAUACAAGGUCCUGCCGAAUAUUGGGGAGAGUGGCCACAUAUAAGACAUUAUUCAUUUGAAAUAUGUUUCUGAUGCUUGGUUAGUCUAGAAGCAAAACCAAACAAACUAAAUAAAUAAACAAAAAUAAACAAAAACAAAAAAACCUAACCUCCUGAUCUGGUGUGUCACAUGUUUGAAGUCCUCAAUGUUUUGGUUAAAGCAGGAACACACAUUAUGGUUUCACCUUGCCAUCAAAAAGACAGAAGGAGUGGGGAGAGCGAGACAGAUGCACUGACUCUGCAUCUAACUACGAAGCUUUUUUAUUUAUUUAUUUAUUUAUUUUACAAAUUAGUUGAAUAAAAACAUGAAGAGAUUGAAUCGGAGACUGUAAGGUUGUCUUCCCSGGGAGGUCUUCUGAGUACGUUUCACUGAGAGGAGACCUGAAGAAGAUCCAGAACUCACCGGAGAGUUUGACGCCUUGAGACCCUCAAAGAAGAGCUGGAGGGGGUUGCUGUGGAGGAGGGGCAUCCGGGUUUCCCUGCUGAACCUUUAGUCUUGGAUGAGUGGGGCAAAAAAGAAAGGUACUCAACUCGCUGCUUAUAUCUAUUAAAUUACUUGUCAUAUGUUUUUUAUUUGAAAUGUAGAGAUAUUUAUAGGAUGUACGUUAUGACCAGCCUCCAAGAAAUACUUGCAACUAAAAUGACCAAAGACGAGUUAACUCCAGCUCAAGUCUCGGAAGAGCCGAGAAUAAAGUUCUUUUAAACAUAUUCUGUUUUUUAUUGACAGUUAUUUCAUUUGAAAAAAAAAUCUUUAUAUGUUUAUUUAGAGAUUUCAAACAUUUGAACGGAAACCUCAAAGUGCAUUUAUGUAAAAAAAAAAAUUGUUGAGUCAGCUCUAAGUUGGUGAUGGGAAACUCCUCUCAUAUUGGACACCCUUAAAUGAAUAACCACUUUCAGCUGAGAUUUCUGUUGUGACAUUUGGAGGCUGCCGGUAAACGAAAUAUAUUUUAUUCAGAAAAGAGCCGGUUUUUGAACAGAGCCCUUCAUGCAUCUACAAGUCUCUCGUCGGCGUCAUUUCGUCCACAAAAGAGACCUCACGAGCUGCUGCGGGACGACACCAGCUAAUAUCAUGAAUCAGCUUUUUAGUCAGCUCUUCACAGAAUCGAGAAGUCAUCAGAGCUGAGUAUUUCACACUGAUAACACAACUUUGUGGAGUUAAACCUUUGGCACUGGAACAACAUUUUUACUAAUAAGGACUUCUGUAGUUAAACCUCUUGUUUCAGAACUGGUAAAAAAAAAGCCACCACAUGACAAACACAUAAAGCUGCAUCCUUUUACCACUAAAGAGGAAAA